rnacentral:misc_RNA from 1 species
UUUCCGUAGGUGAACCUGCGGAAGGAUCAUCAACAAAACAAUUCAAAAAAAACACCAAUUUCAUUCCAAAAUUAUAUUGGAAUGUUUUUUUAAUGGGGAUGUGGAGAUUUCUAAAUUUUUUAAUUAGAUUUUUCUCAUGCCCCAUCAUUUAAAACUAAACUCCUAAAAUUAAAUUGAAAAAUUAUUCUAAAAAAUUUUAAAAUAUAAAAGUAGAGACAACUUUUAACAAUGGAUCUCUUGGCUCUC